rnacentral:rRNA from 1 species
AUUGAACGCUAGCGGGAUGCCUUACCCAUGCAAGUCGAACGGAGUGGCGAACGGGUGAGUAAUGUAUCGGAACGUGCCCUGGAGAGGGGGAUAACUAAGCGAAAGAGUAGCUAAUACCGCAUACUAUUGGAGCGGCCUAUAUCGGAUUAGCUAGUUGGUGGGGUAACGGUCCACCAAGGCGACGCCCCGGAGCUGGUUUGAGAGGACGAGCAGCCACACGGGAACUGAGACACGGCCCAGACUCCUACGGGCGGCAGCAGUGGGGAAUUUUGGACAAUGGGGGAAACCCGGAUCCAGCCAUCCCGCGUGUGCGAUGAAGGCCUUCGGGUUGGAAAGCACUUUUGGCAGGAAAGCGGUACCUGAAGAAUAAGCACCGGCUAACUACGUGCCAGCAGCCGCGGUAAUAC